AUUGAACGCUGGCGGCAGGCCUAACACAUGCAAGUCGAGCGGAGCGGCGGACGGGUGAGUAAUGCCUAGGAAUCUGCCUGGUAGUGGUGGAUAACGUCCGUAAACGGGCGCUACUACCGCAUACUAUCAGAUGAGCCUAGGUCGGAUUAGCUAGUUGUUGGGGUAAAGGCCUACCAAGGCGACGAUCCCUAACUGGUCUGAGAGGAUGAUCAGUCAAACUGGAACUGAGACACGUUCCAGACGCCUACGGGAGGCAGAAGUGGGGAAUAUUGGACAAUGGGCGAAAGCCGGAGCCAGCCAUGCCGCGUGUGUGAAGAAGGUCUUCGGAUUGUAAAGCACUUUAAGUGGGGAGGCGUGACCAUCAGAAUAAGCACCUGCUAACUUCGUGCCAGCAGCCGCGGUAAUAC
rnacentral:rRNA from 1 species